GCCUGAGUGGCGAAAUUGGUAUACGCGCUAGAUUCAAAAUCUAGUGGUGGCAACACCGUGAGAGUUCAAGUCUCUCCUCAGGCACCA
rnacentral:tRNA from 1 species